AUGAGAUCCUCCAACCGCCGCCAUGGAGCUCCUCCCCCGCCGCCCAAGCCCCAUCCGCCUCCCCUCCCUGAUACGGUGCAGUUCCCCACCCUACUUCUUCCCCAUCUGAAGGAGCUGAACUUCAUGUGCCCACGGCGUUGGCCGUCCCUUACCCGUUCAAAUACAUUGGGGUUGGAAUUUUUCCUCUCCUCCUCUACUCUGUUCAAGUUCAAGAUCGUUGGGUGA
rnacentral:rRNA from 1 species